rnacentral:rRNA from 1 species
AAAUUGAAGAGUUUGAUCAUGGCUCAGAUUGAACGCUGGCGGCAGGCCUAACACAUGCAAGUCGAACGGUAGCACAGAGAGCUUGCUCUCGGGUGACGAGUGGCGGACGGGUGAGUAAUGUCUGGGAAACUGCCCGAUGGAGGGGGAUAACUACUGGAAACGGUAGCUAAUACCGCAUAACGUCGCAAGACCAAAGUGGGGGACCUUCGGGCCUCACACCAUCGGAUGUGCCCAGAUGGGAUUAGCUAGUAGGUGGGGUAACGGCUCACCUAGGCGACGAUCCCUAGCUGGUCUGAGAGGAUGACCAGCCACACUGGAACUGAGACACGGUCCAGACUCCUACGGGAGGCAGCAGUGGGGAAUAUUGCACAAUGGGCGCAAGCCUGAUGCAGCCAUGCCGCGUGUAUGAAGAAGGCCUUCGGGUUGUA